UACGAAGGGGGCUAGCGUUGCUCGGAAUCACUGGGCGUAAAGCGCACGUAGGCGGCUCUUUAAGUCGGAGGUGAAAUCCUGGAGCUCAACUCCAGAACUGCCUUCGAUACUGUAGAGCUUGAGUUCGGGAGAGGUGAGUGGAACUGCGAGUGUAGAGGUGAAAUUCGUAGAUAUUCGCAAGAACACCAGUGGCGAAGGCGGCUCACUGGCCCGAGACUGACGCUGAGGUGCGAAAGCGUGGGGAGCAAACAGG
rnacentral:rRNA from 1 species